GGAGGAGGUUCGCCGCCCCCGACGUCGCGAGAAGUCCAUUGAACCUUAUCAUUUAGAGGAAGGAGAAGUCGUAACAAGGUUUCCGUAGGUGAACCUGCGGAAGGAUCAUUG
rnacentral:rRNA from 1 species